rnacentral:rRNA from 1 species
UACGGGGGGGGCAAGCGUUGUUCGGAAUACUGGGCGUAAAGGGUCUGUAGGUGGCUUGCUAAGUCAGACGUGAAAUCCCUCGGCUUAACCGGGGAACUGCGUCUGAUACUGGCGUAGGCUUGAGUUGGCAGGAGAGGACGCGAAUUCCAGGUGUAGCGGUGAAAUGCGUAGAUAUCUGGAGGAACACCGGUGGCGAAGGCG